GCCGUCGUAGCUCAGCGGUAGAGCAUUGGACUUUUAAUCCAAUGGUCGCGGGUUCGAUCCCCGUCGUCGGUA
rfam:Spironucleus salmonicida unplaced genomic scaffold scf7180000020639, whole genome shotgun sequence.